rnacentral:rRNA from 1 species
UUAAAAUGUAAUUAUAAAAAAUUAGAGUAGUAACAGUUAUAUUCUUAAAACUUAAUAAAUUUGGCGGUGUUUUAAUCUAUUCAGAGGAACCUGUUCUAUAAUUGAUAAUCCACGUUGAAUCUUACUUAAUUUUGUUUAAUUUGUAUACCGUCGUCAUCAGAAUAUCUUAUAAGAGAAAAAAUUUUCUAAAAUUUUUAUUAAUAAUAAUGUCAGAUCAAGGUGCAGUUUAUAGUUAAGAAGAAAUGGGUUACAAUAAAUUUAUUUAAACGGAUAUGAAAUUUAAAUUUUUCAUUAAAGGUGGAUUUGAUAGUAAAAUAAUAAAGAUAAUUUAUUUGAUUUUAGUUCUAAAACAUGC